rnacentral:rRNA from 1 species
GCCGCACGACGACACGGUCUACGCUCAUGUGAUUUCGCUAAACACGAGUCACUGGUACUUGACCCUAGUCCCAAGGCAUGACUUCAAUGUACCUGAGUCGUAGCAUUGUUGAACCAGUGCGACGCGCUCUCGUCCCGUACUGACCUAGGCCGAAGCUGCGUAGCACAGAUUAGAUACCCUGUAGUCCAGCCUAACGAUGAGUGCUAAUGUAGAGGUUUCCGCCUUAGUGCUCCAGCUAAACGCAUUAAGCACUCGCCUGGAGUACGUCGCAAGGCUGAAACUCAAAGAAUUGACGGGGCCCCGCCAGCGGUGGAGCAUGUAGUUUAAUUCGAGCAACGCGGAAGAACCUUACCAGGCCUGACAUCCUUUGACAACCCAGAGAUAAGAGCUUUCCUUCGGGGGCAAAGUACAGGUGGUGCAAUGUUGUCGUCAGCUCGUGUCGUGAGAUGUUGGGUUAAGUCCCGCAACGAGCGCAACCCUUGAUCUUUAGUUGCCAGCAUUUAGUUGGGCACUCUAAGGUGACUGCCGGUGACAAACCGGAGGAAGGUGGGGAUGACGUCAAAUCAUCAUGCCCCUUAUGACCUGGGCUACACACGUGCUACAAUGGGAAGAACAACGAGCAGCGAAACCGCGAGGUUAAGCCAAUCUCUCAAAUCUUUUCUCAGUUCGGAUUGCAGUCUGCAACUCGCCUGCAUGAAGCCGGAAUCGCUAGUAAUCGCGGAUCAGCACGCCGCGGUGAAUACGUUCCCGGGCCUUGUACACACCGCCCGUCACACCACGAGAGUUUGUAACACCCGAAGUCGGUGAGUAACUUUUAUGAGCCAGCCGUAUAAAGUGACCCCAU